rnacentral:lncRNA from 12 species
CAGGGCUGUAGAUGGGCUUCAAGAAGAGCUGAGAUAAUUUUAUGACCUGUGAAAGCAUUUGCCUAGCUGUUCCUGUAUAAUCAGUAGGAGAAGGGUAAUCAAAGCUCAUUCCUUGGGGCACCAGAUAAUGACACUAAUUAGCACAUAGACAAGGCUUUGCUGAAAGCAUUGCACCCAGGCAUGUGAUAAUUAAUUAGCUGAUUGUUCGGGGAAAGGUGUGCCCCUUGCCUUUUCCUUCUCCUCCAAGAUUGUGCAAUGGGAAGAAAGGAGGAUUUUAUGCUUGCUCAUAAAAUAGAUGCCACAUCUAAAAUAGAUGUGGAUUUAGUCCAGCAUGGCGAAUUUGGGCAGCUUCUCCAGGAAUGUGAAUUUGUGCCGAGAUUUAAAGAGAUCCCUUGAACUACUGCUACAGGUUGGAUCUCUGUGCAUCGGGGGGCAAAGGUAUGGCUAUUAGAUUUUUUUGGGUGUGUUUAUCCUCUUGAAAAAGGACUGGUGCCAAAACCAGAUAUGCCCACCCCCUGUGUACUCAGGCUGCAGCCAGCAAUACUCAGCCACAGCUCUGAGCUUCUGGGGACAGAGGUUUGCAUGGGAAACAGCCACUGCUCGUUUCUGUGGCGCAAGAGCAUUGCCGCUCAGUGAAACAGGCGGUGGUACAGGCUUUUGGCACCACCUCAGGAAACUUUGCAGAUCAAAGAUCACUCCCUCGGAUGGGCUGCGGGGCUGGCUGCCUUUCCCAAGCAGAGCUCCCUGCAAGGAACCCAGAUUUGAUGAAAUCCAAUGCCCUGACAUGACAGUGACCGCUUUGGCUCCAUGGGGCUCAGCUCAGACAGAGGCUUUGCCUCCUCCUUACUGCUGA